rnacentral:rRNA from 1 species
UACGUAGGGGGGCAAGCGUUGUCCGGAUUUAUUGGGCGUAAAGAGCGUGUAGGCGGCUAGAUAGGUCCGUUGUGAAAACUCGAGGCUCAACCUCGAGACGUCGAUGGAAACCAUCUGGCUAGAGUCCGGAAGAGGAGAGUGGAAUUCCUGGUGUAGCGGUGAAAUGCGCAGACUAGUCAGGAAGAACACCCGUGGCGAAGGCGGCUCUCUGGUACGUGACUGGACGCUGAGACGCGAAAGCGUGGGGAGCAAACAGG